UAAAAGACCUAGCAAUAGGUAUACUUAGGGAGGAGCUUGCGUCACAUUAGUUAGUUGGUGGGGUAAAGGCCUACCAAGACUAUGAUGUGUAGCCGGGCUGAGAGGUUGAACGGCCACAUUGGGACUGAGACACGGCCCAAACUCCUACGGGAGGCAGCAGUAGGGAAUUUUCGGCAAUGGAGGAAACUCUGACCGAGCAACGCCGCGUGAACGAUGAAGUAUUUCGGUACGUAAAGUUCUUUUAUUAGGGAAGAAUAAAUGAUGGAAAAAUCAUUCUGACGGUACCUAAUGAAUAAGCCCCGGCUAACUAUGUGCCAGCAGCCGCGGUAAUACAUAGGGGGCAAGCGUUAUCCGGAAUUAUUGGGCGUAAAGGGUGCGUAGGCGGUUAAAUAAGUUUAUGGUCUAAGUGCAAUGCUCAACAUUGUGAUGCUAUAAAAACUGUUUAGCUAGAGUAAGAUAGAGGCAAGUGGAAUUCCAUGUGUAGUGGUAAAAUGCGUAAAUAUAUGGAGGAACACCAGUAGCGAAGGCGGCUUGCUGGGUCUUUACUGACGCUGAGGCACGAAAGCGUGGGGAGCAAACAGGAUUAGAUACCCUGGUAGUCCACGCCGUAAACGAUGAGUACUAAACGUUGGGUAAAACCAGUGUUGAAGUUAACACAUUAAGUACUCCGCCUGAGUAGUACGUACGCAAGUAUGAAACUUAAAGGAAUUGACGGGACUCCGCACAAGCGGUGGAUCAUGUUGUUUAAUUCGAAGGUACCCGAAAAACCUCACCAGGUCUUGACAUGCUUCUGCAAAGCUGUAGAAACACAGUGGAGGUUAUCAGUUGCACAGGUGGUGCAUGGUUGUCGUCAGCUCGUGUCGUGAGAUGUUGGGUUAAGUCCCGCAACGAGCGCAACCCUUAUUGUUAGUUACCAACACGUAAUGGUGGGGACUUUAGCAAGACUGCCAGUGAUAAAUUGGAGGAAGGUGGGGACGACGUCAAAUCAUCAUGCCCCUUAUGACCUGGACUACAAACGUGAUACAAUGGCUGUUACAAAGGGUAGCUGAAGCGCAAGUUUUUGGCGAAUCUCAAAAAAACAGUCUCAGUUCGGAUUG
rnacentral:rRNA from 1 species